rnacentral:lncRNA from 1 species
CUCAUUUCUGUGUCCUGCCGCUCUAAGCACUCGAAAUUGGCCUCUGUAAUCCUCCCAACAACCCUGAUGAUCCCCAGUUGAGAGAGGGGACGCCGGGAACAGCUCCCAUUUGCUGGAAAUGGUGCCCCACCAGCUACUGGCUUAUUCACCCAGGUUGACUGUGGGGUCUGCACCCACAGGGCAGACACACAAGAAACGUCGUGCUCCUCUCCAUCUUCUUAAAUCUGAGUCAGAAAUCUGUCAUCUGUCGGGGAAGGGGGAAUCUUUGUUAUCUACCCUUCCCUCACCCCACCAGGGAUCCUUGGGUUCCAGGAGGUUCUGUGUGGCCAGGGCAGAGCAUCCCCACAGUCUAGGCUGGAGAACCUGGGUUAGACUGGGAAAACAAGCUGCUAGAGAACAGACCAAAGUUACUGUGACACAUGUAUUAUUUCAUUUUUCAUGCCCCACUGAAGCCCUAUAAGGUGAAUAGUAUCUCUACAGAUGAAAAAACUGAGCUUAAAACUUAAGUGACUUGCCCCUGUUAAAGUCUAAAACGUUAAAGUCUCCCGUCUUGUUAAGGGCAGAGCUGGAGCUGAAUUCAGGCCUGUCUUGAUCAUGUCUCAACAACUCCUCCAGGUUCUACGUUUUUUAAAAAAAGAUUGUCUAACCCUGAGAACAAAACCCCCCAGAGAAGGUGUCCCUCUCCCCCAAUUCUGGCCAGGGCUGCCUCUGGGAGGUCUGUGUGGGCCUGCCAGGACCACUUCCCCUCCCAUGAUCCAUCCAGCUGCAUGGUCUCCCUCCUGCCUCUGAGAAAGAAUGGCAUCAAAAUCUGGAAUCCACUGAUUUCACUGAAAAACAGGGCCGCCUGAGACCAGCUCCCAGCCUUGCUGUAACGGAGGCCUGCCCCCCUGGCUUCUAGGGCAUGAAGGUUGGCCUUCCCAUGUGAGGGAUGCUCUGGAAGGGGGCAGAGGGCACAGGCUGGGGCCCCAAGGGGGAGGCAGGAAAGGGGUGAGUCCGGGAGCCAUUGGGACCUUGGCUAAACUGGGUGGGGGACGGGAAGCCGUUCCCCUGAGCUCCCAGACUAUGACUGCUUCUCCCAACUACAUUCUCUUUGCAGUUAAACGAGCAGAUGUUUUGAUAAGUCUUACCCCUGAAGAGCUGGGUUGGUGGCAGUGACCCUACUCCAAAUUAAAUGGAAGAGACAAGUGGACAGCAUAGGGGAUCCUCUGGGUGAGGAAGGGCCACCUGCCUUCAUUGUGCCCCAGGUAGACUGUGCCCAGAUGUUUGUGGGGGCUGAGGCACUUCUUUUAAUUUAGAGACAAAGCCAGGAGAAAUGUAGCCGUGUCAGGAGGAGGCUGGGCAAGACGACCUCAGGGGUCCGUGGAAACUCCAGGGCCCCUCCCCAGUAUGCGAUGGUGUAGGAAGUCAGCUUGUCUGAAGGCAAAAAGGGCUCCAUGUGAGAGAGGGUGGUUACAAGCGCAAUGAGGACCAUUUGAGACCUGGAAUUCUACAUCAUCUGGGUGAAAAAUCCUCUUUAACCAGAAGAGGGAAAGGGUCUUGCCCAAGGUCACAGGGAGAUUUAAUAAUGCCAGGGCCUGCUGUGUCCCCUGAGGCCCCUCUAACUGGGGGGAGCAGUUUAUAAACUAAAACAAGAACGUGGGUGCUGCUGGAGGAAGCAAGGAGUAUGGUGAGGAUGCGGGGCGGGGGACUUGGAACCCAAGGGGACAAAGAGGAAGAGUAGCCAGAAAAGCGGCGAUGAGGCCGUCACUCCGCAGGCACCUGCCAGGUUGACUCUGCCCUCAGGAGGGAGGCUGAAGUCUGGGAAAUCCCGGGGAGGCUACAGAGUGAGGCCAGCGACUAGAAGGGGGCAGUUUCAACCAGUCCAGGGCAAACGUGAGGGGUGGGUUCUGAGUUAAGCCCAGGCCUGUCCCUCCCUCUCAGUGAUGAGGACACAGGAGCCUUGAGAAAGCAGCCUGCCUGGGAUCCCUCUGGGGGAGAGGCAAACUCAGGCUGGAAGCCGGGCCUUCUCCAGGCCUCAUGAGGCUGCUGGAAGGGGUGGGACCUCCCUGCUUGCUCGCUUCCUUCCGGGGAGUGACCGGCACUUUGUCCUCCCACCUUAAGUCCCUUUCUUUUUCUCCUUCUUGCCCUUGGAAGGGGAGGGGUCCUGGAAAAGGCAAAGUAAAGUGAAGACCGACACUUCGUCAGCUAAAGAAAAUAGCCAAGCAAUAUUGCAGCAAAGAUGUGGGUAGCCUUCCCUGAAAUGGAUCUCAGGGUGAACUGUGAGGACCAUUACCCAGAGUCAGGAAGGCCAUUGUCACCACUCAGAGACCCAUCAGAGAGGGGACACAAGAAGAAAGAGACCUGUCUCAGGGAUGGGCUAAAGGAUGAUGGAAACUGCCAGAAACAGACCUGUCAUGAGGGGAGCUCGGCAGGUGACUGAGGAUACCUCCAAUCGUCAGGAAGGGAUGAGCAGUGAUCAAGAACACCUGGAGGCUUAGUGGCCUCACAAGCAGCUCUCAUCACACACACAGCUGUGCCCAGCUGGAUUCUAUUAUAGAAACCCAGGCUACCACAGACACAUCACAUACUUCUAUGGUAUCUAUCAUCACAUAGCAUAUCUAUAUAACGUCAGGGUGGGGAAUGAUUCCUUGACGAGGUACAAACUUCACAGUCCACAAGAGAUUGCCUAAUCUGGUUAUAAAGUACUGCAGUAUGGCCAACGAAACAAAACGGACAGACAAGCCAUUGACUUAAAACAUUGAGAAAUUAUCUUUGCUAUGUGGAGAUUCUCCAAUAUCCCUUAAAGUUGAAAGAAUACUUAAGUUCCUGCACCUAGAUUAGGGAAGGGCAAACUAUGGCUCACAGGCCACAUCUAGUCUGUCUCCUUUUUGGUAUGGCCUCCAAUCUAAGGGUGAGUUUUAUGCUUUUAGAAUUGCUGAAGAAAACUAAAAAAAAAAAAGUGUUUUCAUGACACAUGAAAAUUCAGAUUGUCCACAUCCCUAAAUAAAACUUCAUUGGAAAUGGGUCCA